ACUUAUAUGCAGCAAAACUCUCCUUAAAUUUUAAUGAUAGUAACUGCCGAUUGAAACUCAUUAGAUCACUUGUCGUCAUCUGAUUGGAGGAUCCCUGAUGAUAACUAUCUGCUUUAUCAUUUGGAAAAACCUUCCCAUAGGAACAUCCGUUAUUCCUCCAUCAACAGAGUCAAAUGGGGACAUGCCACGUAGAAGCCACAUGAACAUAAGGGUAGACCGUAUUGCAUAGGAUUUCAAAAAACGUAACAACUCUUUUCGUGCACUCCGUCCCCCUCCCCCCCCCCCCCCCUUCUCUCUCUCUCUCUCCUUCCCAAGAAAGCCUUUCGGGAGCAGGGGCCACCGUCGAAUCCGUUCCCCACUGCCGAUCUCGGAUUCCUCGUCGACCGAGAAAACCUUUCCCGAUCUUGGAGUUGACGAAAGGACGGAAACCACUGUGUGGUCUGGGACUGGGAUUGAAGUUCCUACACCCUUAACAAUAGAGUGAAAAAUAAAUAAAAGAUAGAUUUUUACGGUGGCUGGGUUGCAGAACUAAAUUGACCAAGAAUGUGUUGCGCAGUGCUAUUUUCGUGCGACUACGGUGGGUGGGUUGCGCCGGUAUGGAACUCCUCCACUGGUGGUAUGCGGCGGCGUGAAGAUGUGGGAGGAAGUGGCUUGAUGGGUAACGAGAGAAGAACACACGGUUGAGAGAGAUGAACGGUCUGGUUUCUAAUUUUGCUUUGGUGCGAAGCAAUCCAGAGAUGAAUAUGUGUGUUUAGUGACGUGUCAGCUCUUUAUUAGUGUCCAUUAAACUCAAUAUAUCGGAUUGACCUGUCUAAAGAGGAACUGUUAUCAUUUACUUGGAUAUUCACUGUCACUCAUUUUGUCA